UGUGGCAUUCGAGUGGCGGACGGGUGAGUAACGCGUGGGUAACCUGCCUUACACAGGGGGAUAACACCUGGAAACAGGUGCUAAUACCGCAUAAGCGCACAGGGCCGCAUGGCCCGGUGUGAAAAACUCCGGUGGUGUAAGAUGGACCCGCGUCUGAUUAGCUUGCCGGCGGGGUAACGGCCCACCGGGGCGACGAUCAGUAGGGGUUCUGAGAGGAAGGUCCCCCACAUUGGAACUGAGACACGGUCCAAACUCCUACGGAAGGCAGCAG
rnacentral:rRNA from 1 species